rnacentral:rRNA from 1 species
AGGGUGUAAACGCUGCAGACUUGGUGUUGGAAGCCCUUUGGGGGCAUUCAGUGCCGGAGAGAAGUUGUUAAGUCUGCUACUUGGGGAGUACGUCCGCAAGGAUGAAACUUAAAGGAAUUGGCGGGGGAGCACCGCAACGGGAGGAGCGUGCGGUUUAAUUGGAUUCAACACCGUAAAACUCACCAGGGAAGACUGUUACAUGAAGGCCGAGAUGAAGACUCUGCUAGAUUUGCAGAGAGGUGGUGCAUGGCGUCAGUGACU